CAGGUUUUCUUGCUAAGCCACAGCUUUGGUUCUACCAGGUUUCCGAUUUGUCAUCCAGGAGAUGACAGGCAAUCCACCUCCUGCAACCCCUUCCCCACUUGUUCCUGUUUCCCAACCUGACCUGAGGACUGUCUGUCCAACACAUGACUGAAGGCCACCACUCACCAGCUCUGACAUGUCCUACAUGCCAGGCCCCAUGCUGGGCGCUCCCUUUCCUGACAGUAUUCUGUCCCCAACCCUCUGAUGUGGCUUCAUUAUUAACCACACUGUACCAAAGGGAGAAUAUUGAAGCUCUGGUGGGGUGACAAAACCCACCCAAGGUCACAUGGCCUGGGAGAGUCAGAGCUGAGUGCCACCCAAUUGAUGCUCUUUGUGACAGGUGGCCUUGAUGAUGACAAGAUGGCGGAGGCGAUGGUGAAGAUCUUCUUGGGCUCUGCUGGGCAUUGUCUCCCCAUGGGUCCCCCUUCACUGCAGGUCCAGGGCAGAGGGGCAGGAAGUGUGGACAGCACUGGUGGUGACCAAUAAUGUCCACGAGGUGUCGCCCAAGUCCUAGGAAACAGUUGGUUCUAAAGGAAGGUCUUCAAGCUACCAAUAGGGGAAAGGGGAAGGGAAGGGAGGAGUCUCCGCAGAAGGGAGAAGACAGACCUGGCUCUGGGUAGAGAUGGCAGCCCCCAGGUCAGCAACCAGCCCUCUCCUCAAGCCUCAGCGAGGAAGACUCACCAACCUGGAAAGUGUGGCAGGAUGUCCCCAGGGUGGGAGAGGCCCGGGGUGUAAAGCAGGGAGCGCCCCUUCAACAGUGGGACCUGUGCCCCUCCCUGGCACCUUCACCCCCAGGGGCAGCCAGUUAUCAGCCGGGUUCCACCCUAAGGGCCUUUGGGGCACCUUCAGGACUGCCACAGUUAGGAGGUCAUCUUCUGCUCCCCACACCACCUGGCACCAGAUACAAAGGUCACGAACUCCCACUUCUGCUCCCCUUCUGGCCCUGGGCUCCCCGGAGCCGAGGCUCAAGGCUCAGUCUUGAAUGGCUAAGUGGGCCAUUGGUACUGAGUGGCCCCUCAGUGGACAAACCAAUGGGUGGCCCGG
rnacentral:lncRNA from 1 species